GGUGUGUGUCUCUUGGAGGAGAAACCCGGAGGAUGAAGCAAAGCCCUUGAGGCUUGGCUACUUUAGGAUUCAUGUGCUGUCUGCUGCAAGAAGACAUUGAACAAGUGAGAGCAACAUCUCAGCAUUUCUGAGCAGACCAUUUAAAAACUCAAAUGCAGCAGAGGGUGCUUGCGAGUGAGAUCUGUGUGGGCCUGCAAUAGGAGAAGGUCUUGUUCACUUCCUGCCAAAAGCAGUGAAGGUUUACAGGGCCCCUUCUUCUGUGUCCCCAUCCAG
rnacentral:lncRNA from 1 species